ACGGGACCCGCACAAGCGGUGGAUGAUGUGGAUUAAUUCGAUGCAACGCGAAAACCUUACCUACCCUUGACAUGUCCGGAAUCCCGAAGAGAUUUGGGAGUGCUCGCAAGAGAGCCGGAACACAGGUGCUGCAUGGCUGUCGUCAGCUCGUGUCGUGAGAUGUUGGGUUAAGUCCCGCAACGAGCGCAACCCUUGUCAUUAGUUGCCAUCAUUUGGUUGGGCACUCUAAUGAGACUGCCGGUGACAAACCGGAGGAAGGUGGGGAUGACGUCAAGUCCUCAUGGCCCUUAUGGGUAGGGCUUCACACGUCAUACAAUGGUCGGUACAGAGGGUUGCCAACCCGCGAGGGGGAGCUAAUCCCACAAAGCCGAUCGUAGUCCGGAUCGCAGUCUGCAACUCGACUGCGUGAAGUCGGAAUCGCUAGUAAUCGUGGAUCAGCAUGUCACGGUGAAUACGUUCCCGGGCCUU
rnacentral:rRNA from 1 species